GUCCUGGGAGCCGUACCGAAAUGAAACGGAACCUCUUUGAUAGAGAGGACUAUGGGGGUUUGACUCCCCCCGACU
rnacentral:tRNA from 1 species